rnacentral:rRNA from 1 species
CCUACGGGGGGCUGCAGUGGGGAAUAUUGGACAAUGGGGGGAACCCUGAUCCAGCCAUGCCGCGUGUGUGAAGAAGGCCCUCGGGUUGUAAAGCACUUUCAGUGAGGAAGAACGCCUGGUGGUUAAUACCCAUCAGGAAAGACAUCACUCACAGAAGAAGCACCGGCUAACUCCGUGCCAGCAGCCGCGGUAAUACGGAGGGUGCGAGCGUUAAUCGGAAUUACUGGGCGUAAAGCGCGCGUAGGUGGCUUGAUAAGCCGGGUGUGAAAGCCCCGGGCUCAACCUGGGAACGGCAUCCGGAACUGUCAAGCUAGAGUGCAGGAGAGGAAGGUAGAAUUCCCGGUGUAGCGGUGAAAUGCGUAGAGAUCGGGAGGAAUACCAGUGGCGAAGGCGGCCUUCUGGACUGACACUGACACUGAGGUGCGAAAGCGUGGGUAGCAAACAGGAUUAGAUACCCCGGUAGUC